rnacentral:rRNA from 1 species
CAGUCGCCGCGGUAAUACGGAGGGAGCUAGCGUUGUUCGGAAUUACUGGGCGUAAAGCGCGCGUAGGCGGUUACUCAAGUCAGAGGUGAAAGCCCGGGGCUCAACCCCGGAACUGCCUUUGAAACUAGGUGACUAGAAUCUUGGAGAGGUCAGUGGAAUUCCGAGUGUAGAGGUGAAAUUCGUAGAUAUUGGAAGGAACACCAGUGGCGAAGGCGGCUACCUGGACUGAGACUGACACUGAGGCGCGAGAGCGUGGGGAGCAAACAGGAUAAGAUACCCCGGUAGUCCCUGUCUCUUAUAA